rnacentral:rRNA from 1 species
GAUGAACGCUGGCGGCGUGCCUAAUACAUGCAAGUCGAGCGAACAGAUGAGGAGCUUGCUCCUCUGACGUUAGCGGCGGACGGGUGAGUAACACGUGGAUAACCUACCUAUAAGACUGAGAUAACUUCGGGAAACCGGAGCUAAUACCGGAUAAUAUAUUGAACCGCAUGGUUCAAUAGUGAAAGACGGUUUUGCUGUCACUUAUAGAUGGAUCCGCGCCGCAUUAGCUAGUUGGUAAGGUAACGGCUUACCAAGGCAACGAUGCGUAGCCGACCUGAGAGGGUGAUCGGCCACACUGGAACUGAGACACGGUCCAGACUCCUACGGGAGGCAGCUGUAGGGAAUCUUCCGCAAUGGGCGAAAGCCUGACGGAGCAACGCCGCGUGAGUGAUGAAGGUCUUCGGAUCGUAAAACUCUGUUAUUAGGGAAGAACAAAUGUGUAAGUAACUAUGCACGUCUUGACGGUACCUAAUCAGAAAGCCACGGCUAACUACGUG